UACGGAGGGGGCUAGCGUUGUUCGGAAUUACUGGGCGUAAAGCGCACGUAGGCGGCUUUGUAAGUUAGAGGUGAAAGCCCGGAGCUCAACUCCGGAACUGCCUUUAAGACUGCAUCGCUAGAACGUUGGAGAGGUAAGUGGAAUUCCGAGUGUAGAGGUGAAAUUCGUAGAUAUUCGGAAGAACACCAGUGGCGAAGGCGACUUACUGGACAACUGUUGACGCUGAGGUGCGAAAAGCGUGGGGAGCAAACAGG
rnacentral:rRNA from 1 species